CCUACGGGUGGCAGCAGUGAGGAAUAUUGGUCAAUGGACGCGAGCCUGAACCAGCCAAGUAGCGUGAAGGAUGACUGCCCUAUGGGUUGUAAACUUCUUUUAUAAGGGAAUAAAAUGAAGUAUGUAUACCUUUUUGCAUGUACUUUAUGAAUAAGGAUCGGCUAACUCCGUGCCAGCAGCCGCGGUAAUACGGAGGAUCCGAGCGUUAUCCGGAUUGAUUGGGUUUAAAGGGAGCGUAGGUGGGUUGUUAAGUCAGUUGUGAAAGUUUGCGGCUCAACCGUAAAAUUGCAGUUGAUACUGGCAGCCUAGAGUACAGUAGAGGUGGGUGGAAUUCGUGGUGUAGCGGUGAAAUGCUUAGAUAUCACGAAGAACCCCGAUUGCGAAGGCAGCUUCCUGGACUGUGACUGACGCUGAUGCUCGAAAGUGUGGGUAUCAAACAGGAUUAGAUACCCGGGUAGUC
rnacentral:rRNA from 1 species